UUCGCAUUUCAAGUCGCCCGGGUAUGGUUUCUGGGAGUGAACCCCGGGCCCCAUCAUCCAUCGUGAUUACCUGGGGCUGCAGCCGUCCUUGGCCUCUGCAGCUCCAAAGCGCCCAGACGUUCGUUCCGGUGGCACUGAAGGGCUAAGCAGUGCUCACGGGCGGACCGAGGAGAAUGAAGGCCACGCGUGGGCCGCCCCUACCUAUGGCGCUCAGGAUCCAGUGGACGCAGCAGGAGUCUGCGCGGGCCGCGUGGGCGGUGCCUUCCUUGCAGAGGCUGCAGGGCUAGCGCAGCGAGUGCACCUGGGAGUCACGCUCUCGCUCAGACACAUGGCCCUGGACCCUUGGCUGUUUUCCUGCCGCAGCCUCCCGACUUCAGGCCGGUGUGCGCCCGCCCGGGGAAAAGGCAGGAGCGGGAGGCUCCUGCAUCUGCCAGCCCUGCGGAUCAGGCUGCCCUGGCCAUGGCGAGGAGACGCAAGGGCCCGGCUGGCUAGUUCACACUACCUUUCGGGGGCAGUGCUCGCAAUACUUGCUGGUUCAAUGGAAGUGCCUUGUUCACCUGGUGACACGGAUUGUUGCUGAGACAUGUACAUGCCCCAAGUCAGGCCAAUCAAAGACAAAAAGACCUAGUUCUGAAACUUUGCUACGCCUACAAGUUAGAGUAACAUAUCUCUAGAGAUGUUUGAAUGCUCAGCUGCUACAGGACUGUGAUGCUAAGAUUAGGGCCUCAGUAGGGAAAUGACUUGGCCCCCUGAAACAUGGAUGGUGAUAUAUAGAUGGUUGCCCCUGAAGAAAAUUGGCUUUUCAAAUCACUAGAACCCUUAGACCUUGUAGAAGUGGCCCACCCUUGCUUAGUAAGAGAUGAUACUUCUCCUGUACUGGAAAUGCUGCAGAAGUGUUUCUUCCACAAUUGAACAUGUGCCACGGAGGAGUUUCACAGACCUACUCUUCUGGCUGUAAGAUCCAAAUCUACAGAUAAAUUUCAGGAAAACCUGACUAGGAGAAUGGACUUGAUAAAAGUGGGGGAGAAGAGUUGGAAGAAUCAGCAUCUACAGGCAAGAGCCAGAUACAUACUCUUGGAAUGAGAUUCUUCAGGAGCUUGACCAAGGGGGCCAAAACGUGAGCCUGAAUAAGCAAGAAUAAAUUGAUUUGGGAGCAUUUUCUUGGGACAUGAAAUAUAAUAGGCUAGAAAGGACCCCAAGGUAAGAAGUAAAUUUAUUGUCAGCAUAGCCCUUAGAAAGUGAUGGAUAAGGUUAAGUCAGAUGGAAAUGCCUGAAUCACUCUAGCAGACAGUAAAGAAAGGAUUACAGAGCUUGAAGAAGUGAGAUUAUAUUGUUUGAGACCAGAAGACCUACCAGUGAAUGAUGCUCCACCAGAGGGCCAAGGACACACUAUUCAAAGAACGGCAUCAUCAGGAAUGUACUGGUGAGAGGAUCACUGGAAUCACAGAUACUGAUUGGAGAUUCUCCUCUGCAUGUGAUGCUUUGCUUCCUCUCCUCCUGCCCUUGGAUAUCAGACUCCAGGUUCUUCGGCCUUUGGACUCUGGGACUUGCACCAGCAGCCUCCAAGGGACUCUCAGGCCUUUGGCCUCAGACUGAGGGUUGCACUGUCAGCUUCCCUGGUUUUGAGGCUUUCAGACUUGGACUGAGCUACACUACUAGCUUCUCUCUUUCCCCAGCUUGCCAACGGCCUAUCAUGAGACUUUGCCUUGUAAUUGUGUGAGCCAGUUCUCCCUAGAAAACUCUCUUACAUAUAUACGUACAUCUUAUUGGUUUUGUCUCUUUCAAGAACCCUGUGCCCAAACAACAGGGCCCAAACAAAGCUGUGCUCCAUCAUUCUGGGGUACUACUGCUGCUGCUGCUGAUGCACUUGGCCUUGCAGAGCCUAGGAUACUGUUGUGCCCGACCAUCCCAGGGGCUAGAGUCACUACUACAAGAUUCUUUAUCCUCCAGGACCCAAACUACCAGUGAGCCAUAAUGGUUCAGGUUCACAAAUUGCAUCCAUAGCCUUAUCCCUGGGCUCAAACCUGUAGAGCAUCCCUUCUUCCCCAGAGUUGGCCCAGCGCUGUGCCCUGUUUCCUAGGGAUAGAAUCACAGCCCCCUAGAAUCACCAUUUGAGCUGCUAAAGAAUGCCACAGCAUCACAUAUCCUGGCUCUGGAAACAACCUACAUCCAAUCCCGUCACAGAGAGCAAACCUGCAUCCCAAGACCCAGGUGCCACUAUAGGCUCAUGAGCCCAUGAGCCUAGGACCCUCAACCUACAGCCAUUCUGAGCAUCUGCACCUGAAACUCAGGACUGCAGCAGCUGUUUUUAGGCCAUGUCAAAACUGACACCAAGAAAGAUUCUCUUGGGUAAGUCUCCCUAUUGUGAGGAAAACAAGAAUAGGAGGACCCCAAAGAACAUUGGUACCAAGAACAUUAAUAACGUAUGCCCCUGACACUGCCACAGACUUUUACAGACUAGGUCACUGAGGCACCCACACUUACUGUUGAUGUCUAUUGCAGCUGAAAAAGCUACACGGAGAUUAUACCACUGCAUCUAUCCAGAAACAGAGUCACUACACCUUUUCCAAAUAACGUACUAUAACUCAAAUGCAAGUGAAAAUCUUUCUCCACCAAAGCCACGCUAGAAAGCUUGUAAGUGGUUAUUGUUCUACCAGACACACAGGCAUGAAUUCAGGGACACAAGAAACAUGAAGAAGCAGGGAAAUAAGAUACCACCAAAGGAACAUAAGAACUGUUUAGUAGCAAAUCCCAAUGCAAAGGAAAUCAAUGAAUUGCUGGAAAAGAAAUUCAAAGUAAUGAUCUUAAGAAAAUUAAAUAAGAUACAAGAAAAUAGAGAUAGACAAUUCAACAAAUUCAGGAAAACACUUCAUCAUAUGAACGAGAAAUUCAACAAAGAGUUAGAAAUUAUAAAAAAGAACAAAACAAAUCCUGCAACUGAAUAAUUCAAUGAAAGAACUAAGAAAUGCAAUCGAGAGCUUUAACAGUAUACUUGAUUAAACAGAGUAAAGAAUUACAGAACAUGAAAUAGGUCAUUUGAAAUUACCCAGUUAGAAAAAAUAUGGUAAUCAUCCUGAUUUGACCACAACAUAUUGUAUACAUGUAUUGAAUUCCCAUAAACCUAAACAAUUAUAUGUCAAUUAAAAAUAACAACAUUUUUAAAACCCACAAGACUGUAAACACCAAUGAAAAAAAGCACACAAUUAACAAUUAUUUUAAUUUGAUUUAUUAUUUUUAACUUUCGUUCCUGUUGAUUAUAUGCAUCCCUAUUUCUUCUUUGAUGAUUUUAAUGCAUACACUUUAAAUUUCUUUUAGAAAAUAAUCAUGUCUGGUACAUUUCCAAAGCAAUCAAAUUGCUUGAGUUUCAUAGAAGCAUGUUCAGCCUUCAAAUAGUGAUUAUGAUUUCACCCAACCCAUUCUGAUAUAAAUAACAAGUGUAAAAAGUAGAUUUUGUUUCCUAAGUUCUUUGAUGUCUCAUCAUCAGGACUCCUUCCUCUUGUGUUAAGCAACAUUGCCAGCCAAUCUUGACAGUUACUGUCACCAUUCAGUUUUCUUUAUAAGAAAUGAUCUGAGUAAGUGUGAGAUGCAGAUGAGAUAGACUAAUAAAUCCUAUGGGGCUCAGUUGAUUGUCUUAUAGAGAUGUCAUACUCCACUAGGUUCCACUUCCUUGGUAUUUAAAUUUUUCAUUAUAUUGGAACUAAAAAUAAUAAAAAGCUUAGAAAAAUAUUUGAAAUUUGCCAUCACUGUAACAUGAAAAUUUAAUUAGUUUUGCAUUUUGGCACCAAGAAGCAUGUCAUUUUCUUCUGUCUGAUUCAAAAAAUUCACAAAUGUAAGCAAAAAUGAAACUCCUAAUGUUAAUGAAACUUUUCUUCAGUUCUACACCAACCUAAGCUCAGAGUAGAGGUGAAUAGCUCCUAGGAAAUCUAUAAAACUUUAUCUUUUGGGAAGACU
rnacentral:lncRNA from 1 species